GAUUUCCUAUUCUUUCUCUACCAGCUAGAGAUGUUUUGGCUAUCCCAAUUUCCACAGUUGCAUCAGAGUCUACAUUUAGCACUGGAGGACGAGUUCUAGAUUCAUUUAGGAGCUCUUUAACUCCUAAAGCUGUGCAAUCUCUAAUUUGUGCUCAAGACUGGCUUGGACACUCAAUUCAAUAUGUCGUAGAAGAAGGGAAUGAUGAUAUUCAAAAGAUAGAACUUGAUUUGCAAAAAAUUGCAUUGGAGGCAACUGUUGAUAUAUUGUAAAUGCCAGGAAAAAAUACUUAAUUGUUGGUGGCA